UAGUCCACGCCGUAAACGAUGGUCACUAGCUGUUCGGUUUCGACUGAGUGGCUAAGCGAAAGUGAUAAGUGACCCACCUGGGGAGUACGUUCGCAAGAAUGAAACUCAAAGGAAUUGACGGGGGCCCGCACAAGCGGUGGAGCAUGUGGUUUAAUUCGAUGAUACGCGAGGAACCUUACCAGGGCUUAAAUGUAGUAUGACAGGUUUAGAGAUAGACUUUUCUUCGGACAUAUUACAAGGUGCUGCAUGGUUGUCGUCAGCUCGUGCCGUGAGGUGUCAGGUUAAGUCCUAUAACGAGCGCAACCCCUGUUGUUAGUUGCCAGCAUGUAAAGAUGGGAACUCUAACAAGACUGCCGGUGCAAACCGUGAGGAAGGUGGGGAUGACGUCAAAUCAUCACGGCCCUUACGUCCUGGGCUACACACGUGCUACAAUGGUAGGUACAAAGCGCAGCUAACUCGCGAGAGUGUGCCAAUCGCAAAAACCUACCCUCAGUUCGGA
rnacentral:rRNA from 1 species